rnacentral:tRNA from 1 species
GCGUUAUUGGUUUAGUGGUAAAAUUCUCCGUUGCCAUCGGGGAGCCCUGGGUUCGAUUCCCAGAUAACGCA